GUGGCUCAGUGGUAGAGCGCUUGCCUUGCAUGCAUGAGGUCCUGGGUUUGAUUCUCACC
rnacentral:tRNA from 1 species